GGUUCACUCGAUCUAUGAGAGCUUGCUCAGAUAUGACGAUGGACAUUGCAAAGAGUGGCGAACGGGUGAGUAACACGUGGGAAACCUACCUCUUAGCAGGGGAUAACAUUUGGAAACAGAUGCUAAUACCGUAUAACAAUGACAACCGCAUGGUUGUUAUUUAAAAGAUGGUUCUGCUAUCACUAAGAGAUGGUCCCGCGGUGCAUUAGCUAGUUGGUAAGGUAAUGGCUUACCAAGGCGAUGAUGCAUAGCCGAGUUGAGAGACUGAUCGGCCACAAUGGGACUGAGACACGGCCCAUACUCCUACGGGAGGCAGCAGUAGGGAAUCUUCCACAAUGGGCGAAAGCCUGAUGGAGCAACGCCGCGUGUGUGAAUGAAGGGUUUCGGCUCGUAAAACACUGUUGUAAGAGAAGAAUGACAUUGAGAGUAACUGUUCAAUGUGUGACGGUAUCUUACCAGAAAGGAACGGCUAAAUACGUGCCAGCAGCCGCGGUAAUACGUAUGUUCCAAGCGUUAUCCGGAUUUAUUGGGCGUAAAGCGAGCGCCAGACGGUUAUUUAAGUCUGAAGUGAAAGCCCUCAGCUCAACUGAGGAAUUGCUUUGGAAACUGGAUGACUUGAGAUGCAGUAGAGGAAAGUGGAACUCUCAUGUGUAGCGGUGAAAUGCGUAGAUAUAUGGAAGAACACUAGUGGCGAAGGCGGCUUUCUGGACUGUAACUGACGUUGAGGCUCGAAAGUGUGGGGUAGCAACAGAUUAGAUACUC
rnacentral:rRNA from 1 species